AUUGAACGCUGGCGGCAUGCUUUACACAUGCAAGUCGAACGGUAACAGGUUAAGCUGACGAGUGGCGAACGGGUGAGUAAUGCAUCGGAACGUGCCCGGUCGUGGGGGAUAACGCAGCGAAGGCUGCGCUAAUACCGCAUACGAUCUGAGGAUGAAAGCGGGGGACCGUAAGGCCUCGCGCGAUCGGAGCGGCCGAUGUCAGAUUAGGUAGUUGGUGGGGUAAAGGCUCACCAAGCCGACGAUCUGUAGCUGGUCUGAGAGGACGACCAGCCACACUGGGACUGAGACACGGCCCAGACUCCUACGGGAGGCAGCAGUGGGGAAUUUUGGACAAUGGGCGCAAGCCUGAUUCAGCAAUGCCGCGUGCAGGAAGAAGGCCUUCGGGUUGUAAACUGCUUUUGUACGGAGCGAAAAGGCUCUCUCUAAUACAGGGGGCUCAUGACGGUACCGUAAGAAUAAGCACCGGCUAACUACGUGCCAGCCGCCGCAGUAA
rnacentral:rRNA from 1 species